rnacentral:ncRNA from 1 species
CCGAUUGAAUGGUCCUUGAAUGGUCCGGUGAAGUGUUCGGAUCGCGGCGACGGGGGCCGUUCGCCGCCCCCGACGUCGCGAGAAGUCCAUUGAACCUUAUCAUUUAGAGGAAGGAGAAGUCGUAACAAGGUUUCCGUAGGUGAACCUGCGGAAG